AUUAGCAUGUAGCUAUUCACUGCUAGCAUGACUAGCAUGUUGGAAUUCCAGUUUGCUAGCAUGAGUCAAAAGAGCCAACCGCCAUGUCUUUACGAUGUUCUAAUUCAGAGAUAUAGGUCUUGCAAAACGGUUGCUAGGGUACUCUGUUUGGUUGCUAGGGAGUGGCCUGACAGCUCCCAAUGACGAUACUCCAAAGGCUGCUUGACAGUAUAAGCGAAACCCCAUGUCUGUACAUUGUUCUGAUGCAGAGAUAUAGGUCUUGCAAAACGGUUGCUAGGGUACUCUGUUUGGUUGCUAGGGAGUGGCCUGGCAGCUCCCAAUGAUGAUACUCCAAAGGAUGCUUGACAAUAUAAGCCAACCCCCAUGUCUCUACGAUGUUUUGAUGCAGAGAGAUAGGUCUUGCAAAACGGUUGCUAGGGUACUCUGUUUGGUUGCUAGGGAGUGGCUUGGCAGCUGGGAAUGAUGGCUGCUUUCCAGUAUGAAUGAUAUAAACCAACCCCCAUGCCUUUAUGAUAUUCAGAUUUGAAGAUAUCCCUCUAUGCUUUGGGUUGCUAGGGUGCUCUAAAUGGUUGCUAGGGCGUGGCUAUGAAGUCUUGAAGGUGAUUUGUGAUUGGUUGUUUGCUGCCCCGAGUCAAACGAGCCCACCCUCAUGUUUCUAUGACACUUCUAUCCAAAGAUAUUAAUUUGAUCUUUUUCAAUGGAAGUCUAUGGAGAUUGUUACUAAGAGGCCCUAAAGGGUUGCUAGGGCGUGGCUUGAGUGCUUCACAAUGAUCCAGACAGACUGAUUGGUUGCCUGAUUAAAAUGAGCCCACCCCCAUGUCUCUAUGACAUUGUGUUCCAGAGUUAUGUUCAAUGCAAAACUUACCAUAGUAGGAAAUACACACUGUUUCAUGGGCGAUCCCUCACCAUAAUAUGUCUAUGGGGCAACUUUGGGGGGCUCUUGCGCCCCAGGGGUACAACUUAUACCCCACUGCGGGGUAUGUUCUCGCACAGCCUGAUAGCCUCUCCAAAUGUGGUGAUUCACAUGUUUCUGCGAAAUUCUCUCUCGGAGCUAUGAUCCGUCAAAG
ensembl:lncRNA